rnacentral:rRNA from 1 species
GAUGAACGCUGGCGGCGUGCCUAAUACAUGCAAGUCGAACGAAAUACCUUCGGGUAUUUAGUGGCGAACGGGUGAGUAAUACGUAGAUAACCUGCCUAUAGGACUGGGAUAACUAUUGGAAACGAUAGCUAAUACCGGAUAGGUAGAACGAGGGCAUCCUUGUUCUAUUAAAGUUGGGAAACAACACAUAUAGAUGGAUCUACGGCGCAUUAGUUAGUUGGUGGGGUAACGGCCUACCAAGACGAUGAUGCGUAGCCGACCUGAGAGGGUGAACGGCCACACUGGGACUGAGACACGGCCCAGACUCCUACGGGAGGCAGCAGUGGGGAAUAUUGGACAAUGGGCGAAAGCCUGAUCCAGCCAUGCCGCGUGAGUGAUGAAGGCCCUAGGGUUGUAAAGCUCUUUCGCCGGUGAAGAUAAUGACGGUAACCGGUAAAGAAGCCCCGGCUAACUUCGUGCCAGCAGCCGCAGUAAAUCACUAUCGA